UACCAGCACCCCGAGUGGUCGGGACGUUUAUUGGGCCUAAAGCAUCCGUAGCCGGUUCUACAAGUCUUCCGUUAAAUCCACCUGCUUAACAGAUGGGCUGCGGAAGAUACUAUAGAGCUAGGAGGCGGGGAGAGGCAAGCGGUACUCGAUGGGUAGGGGUAAAAUCCGUUGAUCCAUUGAAGACCACCAGUGGCGAAGGCGGCUUGCCAGAACGCGCUCGACGGUGAGGGAUGAAAGCUGGGGGAGCAAACCGG
rnacentral:rRNA from 1 species